rnacentral:rRNA from 1 species
UGGGGAAUAUUGCACAAUGGGGGAAACCCUGAUGCAGCGACGCCGCGUGAACGAAGAAGGUAUUCGUAUCGUAAAGUUCUGUCCUAUGGGAAGAUAAUGACAGUACCAUAGAAGAAAGCUCCGGCUAAAUACGUGCCAGCAGCCGCGGUAAUACGUAUGGAGCGAGCGUUGUCCGGAAUUAUUGGGCGUAAAGGGUACGCAGGCGGUUUAAUAAGUCGAAUGUUAAAGAUCGGGGCUCAACCCCGCAAAGCAUUGGAAACUGAUAAACUUGAGUAGUGGAGAGGAAAGUGGAAUUCCUAGUGUAGUGGUGAAAUACGUAGAUAUUAGGAGGAAUACCAGUAGCGAAAGCGACUUUCUGGACACAAACUGACGCUGAGGUACGAAAGCGUGGGGAGCAAACAGG